UAUACUAGUUAUGUCUUUAUUAGAAUUUGGAGACAGUUAUUAUUCUUUUGUGGUUAUUUUUUCGAUGUAUUUGAAUCUUGGAUUGUAGUAGUAGUUCUUACACUAUUGACACUUGGGUUUUGGUAUGAUUGGUAUUUUGGAUAAGUUCUUUCUGCAUUGUUAUGAUUAUUUAUAUGGUUCAACUUCAUUCUAGAAGCCUUACCUUGGGGUAUU
rnacentral:lncRNA from 1 species